ACUCCUACGGGAGGCAGCAGUAAGGAAUAUUGCGCAAUGGGCGACAGCCUGACGCAGCGACGCCGCGUGGGGGAUGAAGGUCUUCGGAUUGUAAACCCCUUUCGGCAGGGAAGAUGGAACGGGCAACCGCUCGGACGGUACCUGCAGAAGCAGCCACGGCUAACUUCGUGCCAGCAGCCGCGGUAAUACGAAGGUGGCAAGCGUUGUUCGGAUUUACUGGGCGUACAGGGAGCGUAGGCGGUUGGGUAAGCCCUCCGUGAAAUCUCCGGGCCUAACCCGGAAAGUGCGGAGGGGACUGCUCGGCUAGAGGAUGGGAGAGGAGCGCGGAAUUCCCG
rnacentral:rRNA from 1 species